GUGUCCAUGGUAUAACGGUUAUUACGUCGGUUUGUGGUACCGACAACCCGGGUUCGACUCCCGGUGGACACC
rnacentral:tRNA from 1 species